rnacentral:lncRNA from 1 species
UCAUGGUCGUCGGUGGUUUUCUGCUUCGAUUUAGGAUGUCAAUCAACUCGGGUUGGUGUCUCUCGGUUCUAGUCGGUGUCGACAAGCGAUAGGUUCCCCUUUCCUUAGUCUCAGUGUGUUCCGGUGGGUCUCUCUACCACGGUGGUGAGUCUUGUGUUUGAGUAUGCAGGUGUGAUGGACUGAUGGUGCUGGAGCUCUGUUCCGACUCGUGAUGCUCUUGUAAGAGGUUUAACCGGCGGUUGUCUAUGCUUCCUGAGUGGCCACUUGCAAUGCCUCCUCACUUC